rnacentral:rRNA from 1 species
UUCGCAAUGCCCGAAAGGGUGACGAAGCGACGCCGCGUGGGUGAAGAAGGCCUUCGGGUUGUAAAGCCCUGUCAGGAGUUAUGAAAUGUAGGUGCGAUAAUACCGUGCCUAUUUUACAAAGGCUCCAAAGGAAGCCACGGCUAACUCUGUGCCAGCAGCCGCGGUAAUACAGAGGUGGCAAGCGUUGUUCGGAAUUAUUGGGCGUAAAGAGCACGUAGGUGGGUUUGUAAGUCAGAUGUGAAAGCCUUCUGUUCAACGGAAGAAUUGCAUCUGGAACUGCGAGUCUUGAGUGUAGGAGGGGAGAAUGGAACUUCUGGUGGAGCGGUGAAAUGCGUAGAUAUCAGAAGGAACGCUGGCGGCGAAAGCGAUUCUCUGGCCUAUUACUGACACUGAGUGUGCGAAAGCUAGGGGAGCAAACGGGAUUAGAUACCCCGGUAGUCCUAGCCGUAAACGAUGGGCACUAAGUAGAGGGGUUUU